rnacentral:rRNA from 1 species
ACGCUCGACACCUACGGGGGGCAGCAGUGGGGAAGUAUUGCACAAUGGGGGGAACCCGUGAUGCAGCGACGCCGCGUGAGGGAAGAAGGUUUUCGGAUUGUAAACCUCUGUCCUUGGUGACGAUAAUGACGGUAGCCAAGGAGGAAGCCACGGCUAACUACGUGCCAGCAGCCGAGGUAAUCUGAGCGGGCUGGCAAGGC